rnacentral:rRNA from 1 species
UACGAAGGGGGCUAGCGUUGUUCGGAAUUACUGGGCGUAAAGCGUGCGCAGGCGGCUUCUCAAGUCAGGGGUGAAAGCCCAGAGCUCAACUCUGGAACUGCCUUUGAGACUGAGAGGCUUGAGUACGGGAGAGGUGAGUGGAAUUCCCAGUGUAGAGGUGAAAUUCGUAGAUAUUGGGAAGAACACCGGUGGCGAAGGCGGCUCACUGGCCCGGUAACUGACGCUCAUGCACGACAGCGUGGGAGUCAACAGG